rnacentral:rRNA from 1 species
UGGGGAAUCUUGCACAAUGGGCGGAAGCCUGAUGCAGCGACGCCGCGUGGGGGAUGACGGCCUUCGGGUUGUAAACUCCUUUCGCCAGGGACGAAGCCGUGAGGUGACGGUACCUGGAUAAGAAGCACCGGCUAACUACGUGCCAGCAGCCGCGGUAAUACGUAGGGUGCGAGCGUUGUCCGGAAUUACUGGGCGUAAAGAGCUCGUAGGUGGUUUGUCGCGUCGUCUGUGAAAUUCCGGGCUUAACUCCGGGCGUGCAGGCGAUACGGGCAUAACUUGAGUGCUGUAGGGGAGACUGGAAUUCCUGGUGUAGCGGUGAAAUGCGCAGAUAUCAGGAGGAACACCGAUGGCGAAGGCAGGUCUCUGGGCAGUAACUGACGCUGAGGAGCGAAAGCAUGGGUAGCGAACAGG